UACGGAGGAUCCAAGCGUUAUCCGGAUUUAUUGGGUUUAAAGGGUGCGUAGGCGGCCUAUUAAGUCAGGGUGAAAGACGGUAGCUUAACUAUCGCAGUGCCUUUGAUACUGAUGGGCUUGAAUGAACUAGAGGUAGGCGGAAUGUGACAAGUAGCGGUGAAAUGCAUAGAUAUGUCACAGAACACCAAUUGCGAAGGCAGCUUACUAUGGUUU
rnacentral:rRNA from 1 species